rnacentral:piRNA from 1 species
CUUGGCAUGACGAAUAGAAAGGG